UCAAUUGAAACCAAAGGAAGAGGUAUAUUAUUGUUAAUAAUAAAAUUGAAUUAAGAGAUUCCAAUUGAA
rnacentral:tRNA from 1 species